CGGAGAACUUUCUUCGGAAUGUUCUUAGUGGCGAACGGGUGAGUAACGCGUAGGCAACCUGCCCUCUGGUUGGGGACAACAUUCCGAAAGGGAUGCUAAUACCGAAUGUGAUCCUCUCUCCGCAUGGAGAGAGGAUGAAAGAUGGCCUCUACUUGUAAGCUAUCGCCAGAAGAUGGGCCUGCGUCUGAUUAGCUAGUAGGUGGGGUAACGGCUCACCUAGGCGAUGAUCAGUAGCCGGUCUGAGAGGAUGAACGGCCACAUUGGGACUGAGACACGGCCCAAACUCCUACGGGAGGCAGCAGUGGGGAAUCUUCCGCAAUGGACGAAAGUCUGACGGAGCAACGCCGCGUGAGUGAUGAAGGCCUUCGGGUUGUAAAACUCUGUUGUCAGGGACGAACGUGCCGAUCUACAAUACAUUUCGGCAGUGACGGUACCUGACGAGGAAGCCACGGCUAACUACGUGCCAGCAGCCGCGGUAAUACGUAGGUGGCAAGCGUUGUCCGGAAUUAUUGGGCGUAAAGAGCAUGUAGGCGGGCUUUUAAGUCCGACGUGAAAAUGCGGGGCUUAACCCCGUAUGGCGUUGGAUACUGGAAGUCUUGAGUGCAGGAGAGGAAAGGGGAAUUCCCAGUGUAGCGGUGAAAUGCGUAGAUAUUGGGAGGAACACCAGUGGCGAAGGCGCCUUUCUGGACUGUGUCUGACGCUGAGAUGCGAAAGCCAGGGUAGCAAACGGGAUUAGAUACCCCGGUAGUCCUGGCCGUAAACGAUGGGUACUAGGUGUAGGAGGUAUCGACCCCUUCUGUGCCGGAGUUAACGCAAUAAGUACCCCGCCUGGGGACUACGAUCGCAAGAUUGAAACUCAAAGGAAUUGACGGGGGCCCGCACAAGCGGUGGAGUAUGUGGGUUUAAUUCGACGCAACGCGAAGAACCUUACCAAGGCUUGACAUUGAGUGAAAGGCUUAG
rnacentral:rRNA from 1 species